rnacentral:lncRNA from 1 species
CGGUGCCAGCAGAGGGCCUCCCUUACCAGCACAGCACCGUCUGGAAAUUAUAAAACGCAUUAUCUAUUUGGCAAAACUUUGUGCAAGGAUCAGGAAAAGGGCUGGAAUCCGCUCUCCUCCAGGAGACCGGAGACAGCGCGUCCCCCCCGGCUUCUGUUUUCAAUGCCAGCACUCAGCCGCGUUAAAGCCGUGGGAGCGUUCGUCAUUAAAAUGGCAAUUGUGGAGCCAGGCAAUAAAUUUAACAUCAUAAAAGGCGCUGGGAGGGUCUCGCUCAUCUGUUGCUCUUCAAAGAAAAGUGUUAGUUGCUUCCGAAAAAAACAAAAAAAAUUGGGAAGAAGCAGAGCACUCAUUGCUGGAGGUCCUGCGCAAGAACCUCAUGGAAAAUUGUUUGCUGCCUGCGUGGAAUUCCCCGCCUGGUGCCAACACGGUGGAUGUUUAGGCGAGUGUCACACCCGGCCAUCAAGGGCUGCAUCACCGGCACCGCUUUCAGCCCACACAGCCCGGGACAAACGUUUGGCCGGAGGAAAUGAAGCAAGAGCUGAUUUACACCUAUCGGGAUGGAUCACCACUGACCUCCAUCGCCGAUUCCCGCUGCCACGGGGAGCAUCACUCCGCUGCUCUUCCUCCCUUUGCUCAUUUGGAAGACGGGGGUAAUAAUCCCCAUCACCUAUUUGCGAGGCUGUUGUGAAUUUUCAUGAGCUCCCAUCUGAACGGGGCUUUGAGCAGGAAAACUGCUGUAUCAGCUCUAGGCAAUGAUAAACAAUACUCAGCAUUUACAUAUUCAAAGCACUUUGAUUAACUCUUGGGGUUUAAGGACUUGAGUCGAUUCCCACCCGACCGUAAUGGCAGCUGGACGGGGCGAGGGGCGGCGCCGGGGGAGAGCUGGGGGGAGAGCUGGGGGCUCACCCCGCCGGGCAGGGCCAGGAGCAGCCCCCGACAGAGUCACGCAAAGCGCCUCCUGCCUUAAAUCCCUGCCUGGAACGGAGGAGAAAUAAAUCCGGCUGGUCCCCGCCCGCGGGAAGGGGC